GCCCGGCAUGGCUACAGCAGGGACCCUCCUAUCUCUCCAUGAACCUCUCCCGUACACUUACCUGCAUCAACUGAGUGCAUUAAUGUAGCUGGAAAAACAGACUGGAUGCCUGUGCUAAUGCAGAGAUUGAGAGACCCCAACAUAAACCCUUGCUUGAAGGAAUCUGAUGCUUCUACCAGAGGAAUGGAUGAAAAUGACCAUGACAGGGAAACAUGUUCCAUUUAUUUAUUUAUUUAUUGGUGGUCUUGCUGUGGUGUCCAGGCUGGCCUCAAACUGCUGGACUCAAGGGAUCCUCCUGCCUCAGCCUCCUGAGUAACUGUAAUUAUAGGCCACCACUUUGGGCUCUACUUCUUGGAAUGCAAAAACUACCGAGAGUCUGGAAUUCUAUCAUGGUCCAGAGAAUACAGGAUGGAGUGAAGCCAUCUGUGUCCACAGCAGAGAGAGACAUGAAAUCUUGGGAAAAUGGGAAAGAAGCCCUAUUGAACGUUUGCAUUAAAAUUGUUUGUAUAAAUUGAUGCCCGCAUCAACAUGGACAAAUAUAAUCAUUAUGCUGAGUGAGAGAAAACAGACUCAAAGGGCUACAUAAUAUAUGAUUUCAUUUAUGUGACAUUCUGGAAAAGGUAAAACCUUAAAGUUACCAGCUACUGAAAUUGGGGAUGAAGAGUGCUGAAAAAGAGGCAUGAGUUAUAAUUGAAUAUUGA